rnacentral:rRNA from 1 species
CCUACGGGCGGCAGCAGUGGGGAAUAUUGCACAAUGGGCGCAAGCCUGAUGCAGCGACGCCGCGUGGGGGAUGACGGCCUUCGGGUUGUAAACUCCUUUCGCUAGGGACGAAGCUUUUUGUGACGGUACCUAGAUAAGAAGCACCGGCUAACUACGUGCCAGCAGCCGCGGUAAUACGUAGGGUGCGAGCGUUGUCCGGAAUUACUGGGCGUAAAGGGCUCGUAGGUGGUUUGUCGCGUCGUCUGUGAAAUUCCGGGGCUUAACUCCGGGCGUGCAGGCGAUACGGGCAUAACUUGAGUACUGUAGGGGUAACUGGAAUUCCUGGUGUAGCGGUGAAAUGCGCAGAUAUCAGGAGGAACACCGAUGGCGAAGGCAGGUUACUGGGCAGUUACUGACGCUGAGGAGCGAAAGCAUGGGUAGCGAACAGGAUUAGAUACCCGUGUAGUC